rnacentral:rRNA from 1 species
UACGUAGGGUGCGAGCGUUAAUCGGAAUUACUGGGCGUAAAGCGUGCGCAGGCGGUCUGUUAAGACCGAUGUGAAAUCCCCGGGCUUAACCUGGGAAUUGCAUUCGUGACUGCACGGCUAGAGUGUGUCAGAGGGGGGUAGAAUUCCACGUGUAGCAGUGAAAUGCGUAGAUAUGUGGAGGAAUACCGAUGGCGAAGGCAGCCCCCUGGGAUAACACUGACGCUCAUGCACGAAAGCGUGGGGAGCAAACAGG